rnacentral:lncRNA from 1 species
AACAAGUGGAAGUUAUGAAAUCACAAAUGCGACUUAGAUACAACCUUAUUAGAAACAUAUGAUUCCCAAAUUCACAUAUCCCCUUGAUCUUCGAACCCGUCAACUCUAUCAUCUACGAAUUAACUCUUGUAUCAUGAAGAAACUAAAUAUGUCAUGAUCUUAAAAGGGAUACCAAACAAACUAUCAACAUACGUACGACAUACGCACGUUAAAAGAUCUAUCUUGAUCGUACAAGAGCUUCUUCCUUAAAUAAAAACUCAUACGAAAUCACGUAAGAAACGUUAAUUGCUCUGAAAUGAAAAACUCCCCUCAAGGCAAAGGCUCCCUGAUCAAAUCACAUUAGGUGCUCACUGGCUGCAGGCGGUGGCACCUCUCCAGCUAGCGGUGGCACCUCCAGCUACCACGGGUUGCCAGCGGUUGCACCGCUCCAGCCAGAGGUGCAACCGCCCGCAACUCUGCCUUUUUAAACCCACGCUAGGGCCGACGGUGGAACCGACCCCAACUCACUCCCAUUUCCUCCUCUACUCUUCCAAGUCUCCUCCAUUCUCAUUUCACUCCUCUAAGCUUUCCAAAUACCUCCCAUUUCGGAGCAAAACAUCAAGAAUCCUUCCUUCUCUUGAAGAUUUCACAAAGGUACUCUCUAAGAAGCCCUUAAAUUCUGUUUUGUUCUUCAUUUACUCUUGCUCAUCAUCAUCCCUCUAAACAGC